rnacentral:rRNA from 1 species
GCUGGCGGCGUGCCUAACACAUGCAAGUCGAGCGGUAACGCGGGAGCAAUCCUGGCGACGAGCGGCAAACGGGUGAGUAAUGCUUCGGAAUCUGCCCAGUAGUGGGGAACAACCAGCCGAAAGGUUGGCUAAUACCGCAUACGUCCUACGGGAGAAAGCGGGGGAUCGCAAGACCUCGCGCUAUUGGAUGAGCCGAAGUCGGAUUAGCUAGUUGGUAGGGUAACGGCCUACCAAGGCGACAAUCCGUAGCUGGUCUGAGAGGACGACCAGCCACACUGGGACUGAGACACGGCCCAGACUCCUACGGGAGGCAGCAGUGGGGAAUAUUGGACAAUGGGGGCAACCCUGAUCCAGCGACGCCGCGUGUGUGAAGAAGGCCUGCGGGUUGUAAAGCACUUUUAGUGGGGAUGAAAAGCUCAGGGUUAACACCUCUGGGUCUUGACCUAACCCACAGAAAAAGCACCGGCUAACUCUGUGCCAGCAGCCGCGGUAAUACAGAGGGUGCAAGCGUUAAUCGGAAUUACUGGGCGUAAAGCGUGCGUAGACGGUUUCGUAAGUCGGGUGUGAAAGCCCCGGGCUC